AAGGGCAAAAGCUUGCUUGAUCUUGAUUUUCAGUAUGAAUACAGACCGUGAAAGCGGGACCUCACGAUCCUUCUGACUUUUUGGGUUUUAAGCAGGAGGUGUCAGAAAAGUUACCAAAGGGAUUAUUGGCAAAGCGGAAGAGCAGACGUCUU